GAUGAACGCUGGCGGCGUGCCUAACACAUGCAAGUCGAGCGAACAGACGAGGAGCUUGCGCCUCUGACGGUAGCGGCGGAGGGGAGAGUAACAUGUGGAUAACCUACCUAUAAGACUGGGAUAAUUUCGGGAAACCGGAGCUAAUACCGGAUAAUAUAUUGAACCGGAGGGUGCAAUAGAAAAAGACGGUGGUGGGGGCAGUAAUAGAUGGAUCCGCGCCUGAUUAGCAAGUUGGGCAGCUAAUGGCUUACCAAGGCAACGAUGCUUAGGCGCACUCAGAGGGUGGUCGCCCACCCUAGAUCUGAGACUGGGUCCCGACUCCUACGGGAGGCCGCAGUCGCGAAUCUUACGCAAUGGGCGAAAGCUUGACGGAGCACCGCCGCGUCAGUUAUGAUGGUCUUCGGAUCGUAAAACUCUGUUAUUAGUGGAGAACCAAUGUGUAAGUAACUAUGCCCGUCUUGACGGUACCUAAUCAGAAAGCCCCGGCUAACUACGUG
rnacentral:rRNA from 1 species